GAGAGAGACAUGCGCGCAUAUCAAUAAGCGGAGGAAAAGAAACUAACUAGGAUUCCCUUAGUAACGGCGAGUGAAGCGGGAAGAGCUCAAAUUUGAAGUCUUCAAGGUUUUACCUUGACGAAUUGUAGUUUAAAGAAGUGUUUUCUGUUGAAUUUUCGGUAAAAGUUCUUUGGAAAUAGGACAUCAAUAGAGGGUGAGAGUCCCGUAUUUGACCAUUAUUUCAGCUGUGUGAUACACUUUCAAAGAGUCGGAUUGUUUGGGAAUGCAGUCCAAAAUGGGUGGUAAAUUUCAUCUAAAGCUAAAUAUUGGCGAGAGACCGAUAGCGAACAAGUACCGUGAGGGAAAGAUGAAAAGAACUUUGAAAAGAGAGUUAAACAGUACAUGAAAUUGUCAAAAGGGAAGCGUCUGACACCAGUGUUGUUUUCUCGAAAAUCAAUUAAAAAUGGCUGGAUUUUGUGUUGUAUUGACCUUAUAAGCUUUCUGCACUUUUUUCUAUGUCUUUUUUAAUGCACUUUUCGUUUAACAAGUCAACAUCAAUUUCUUUUGUUGUAAAAAGGGUCAUUGGAAGGUGGCUUUCUUUUCGGAGAAAGUGUUUAUAGCCUUUGACUCCUGCAAUCGGAGAGACUGAGGUCUGCAGCGUAGAUUCCUUCGGGAUUAGAUUCACAUUGUGCUAAGUUAUAGCCUUUCAUAGACAACUUGUUGACUAUGAUUAGUCAUUGUAGCUUACUCGCUUAUGUAUUUUACCUACGCUUAGGAUGUUGACAGCAGUAUAGACUGU
rnacentral:rRNA from 1 species